rnacentral:rRNA from 1 species
CGGAUUGGCAUGGGCGAAAGCCUGAUCAGCAAUGCCGCGUGUGUGAAGAAGGCCUUCGGGUUGUAAAGCACUUUUGUCCGGAAAGAAAUGGCUCUGGUUAAUACCUGGGGUCGAUGACGGUACCGGAAGAAUAAGGACCGGCUAACUACGUGCCAGCAGCCGCGGUAAUACGUAGGGUCCAAGCGUUAAUCGGAAUUACUGGGCGUAAAGCGUGCGCAGGCGGUUGUGCAAGACCGAUGUGAAAUCCCCGAGCUUAACUUGGGAAUUGCAUUGGUGACUGCACGGCUAGAGUGUGUCAGAGGGGGGUAGAAUUCCACGUGUAGCAGUGAAAUGCGUAGAGAUGUGGAGGAAUACCGAUGGCGAAGGCAGCCCCCUGGGAUAACACUGACGCUCAUGCACGAAAGCGUGGG